AAGAAAGGAAAGAACACAAACCCUCGGUGGGAAAAUUGAAGAAAAACUGUGGGAUUUCAAGGGAUUAAGCUAAUAAAGGUAAAAUUUUAUGAUUUUAUCUUGUGAUUUACACUACCCAUGCUUUCUUUUUCAUUUUCCAUGUUUAGAACUUAAGUUUGCAUGAUGAACCCAUGCUGGCCGAAUUUGAGAGGAGAGGUUUUGAGCAUUGAUUUUGCUAGAUUUCAAGCUAAUUAAGUGUUUUUGGUUGUUUGGUAAUGGAAAGUAUGAAAAUCUAGCAAGGAAUCACUUUGUUCUUCACAAACCCACAAGAGGCCGAAUUUUCUAGGGAGGAUGUUGAGGUUGAAAUUGAUGAUAUUUCAUGAUAUUUUGGUGGUAUUUAAUGAUUGGUGAGGCUAGAAAUUUAAUGGGAAAUUUUGGCAUGAAAAUCUGAAUUUUUACCUAAUGUAUAGACAUGUGCGAUUUAUGAUCCGGACUGAUAAAUUGAAUCAUAUUCACAAUCAUUGAGGUAUUUUAAGUAUAAUUGGGGUGUAGAAAGUGAAAGAAAUCAAUUUGGAGUUAAAUUGGAGGUUUUAGCCAAUUACACCGAGAAUAGUGCGAAUUAGGUCGAAUACCAUAUUUAAACGGCUAUUCGAACAUUUUGCAUCACAUUUCAUGCAUUCAUAUAGAUUUAUAGAGCCUGAAAUAGUUUAUGGUAAAUUGACACAAUUUAUUGAAAUUCGUGUCACGUAUGAUGUAUAGGUGGUGAGCCCUCUAACAAGGGUAAAGAGAUUGUGCCCGAAGCCCUAGAAUAGGAGUAUAUUGAACUUCUAGUACUGUGAGUAACCUUACUAUCAUCUUAAUUAUCUAAAUUGGUUUUUAUCCGAUUUUGUGAAUUUUAUGGAAAAUGAAUUAAAUGAUUAAUUUUUCGAUUUUAUAAACAAAAUGUGAUUUAGUGAAAUGAUUUCAUAAAAUUGUUUUAAAAUUAAAUAAUGGCUUUUCAAAUAGAGUAAUUGGAGACCAUUUGAUGUAUUGUGAAUUUAUGGUUAUAAUUGAUUGGCUUAUGACAAUAUUGGCAUGAAUGGCUGAAUUGGUAUUUGUGUUGAAAUGUAUAAACUGUUGUUUGCCUUUAUAGGCUGGAUAAUGAUAAAAUUGCCAUGUCAUGCUGUUGCAAAUUUUAUUGUAUGGUGGGUUUAGCUUGCUGUAGUGGGCUGGUUCUGUGGACUAGCCUAUUAGAAGGGCACAGAACCUGGUCAUAUUCUUACCUCGGUUGGAGAGGUGAGUAGGGUAACUCUCGAGGUAUAAUUUUUAGAGUUCACUUCACGCCAAACCACCAUGUGAGGGCGAACUUAGCCAACGCCAAGGAACGACUAUAUUUUCAAAAUAAAAAACAUGAUUUAUGAAUACAUAACUUUUUAAUAGCCUUGGCGGACUCGGUUUGGGAUAGCCCGCAGCCAAGGUAUCCCUGAUAACUAGGUAUGAGAAUGAUUUUGGCACGAGCCAAAGUUUUAAGAAAUUCAUAAGCCAUGUUAAUUACUUGAUUUAUAUGAAUUGAUUUUAUUCGGUUGAAACAAAUUGAAAGAUAAUGAAUUUCAGUAUGUUAAGCUGUUUUAUCUGUCUCCAUUUACUCAACUUUAGAUGGUUUAGAUGGUAUCUGUUUACUCACUAAGAUUUUAUAAUCUCACCACCCUUAUUUUCAACCAUUUCAGGCCCGAGGUAGCCUAUGGAUAGUAGAUAUCGUCAAGCAUUAUAGUCGGCUUUACUACUCCAAAAACUGUAGGUUUACUGUCUUAGUGCACUUUUGUUCCUUGUGUGCCCACGAGUCAUUGUAAAGUAAAUUUCAUAUCUCGGUUAUCUGUAUUAUAGUACGUAUGAAUUUAUUUAGCUUUUACAUUACAAAAAUUAUUUACCGAUGACUAUAAAUAUUGUUUUACAAGAAAUUAGAAUAUUUUAUUGAAUAUUUUUAUUUUAUUCAAAUAGUUGCAAUAUCAUUUUUAAUAAAUGUUUUAGACACCCAAAUUUAUUUUAAAUCAUGAA
rnacentral:lncRNA from 1 species